GUCCUGCUAGAAUGUGCUAGAAUAUCCCAAAGGAAAUGACGACACACUGAAGAAUUCUGAGUUUGGGGUGUGUGACACAAUCAAAUUUGCAUUUUAGAAACAGCACUGGCCACAGCUGGAGAAUGGAUCUGGCUGGGCUGCUUCCUUUGUUCCUCAGCAAGUCAACCCACACUGCGUAACAGAUGAAGGGGAGCUGCCAGGAGAGGAAAAUCUUUCUAAGGGACACCUGAAGAAAACGGAACUGAGCUUAAACUAUCUCUCUCCUCCUCCUCCCAUAUUCUGGAUUAUUCCAAACUCAGGGGGCGCAGAAAGUGAUCAGAAUAAGAACUACCGAUUUUUGUUUAUUUAUCUGAGAGAGAAUGAGAGACAGAGAGCACGAGAGGGAAGAGGGUCAGAGGAAGAAGCAGGCUCCCUGCUGAGCAGGGAGCCCGAUGCGGGACUCGAUCCCGGGACUCCAGGAUCAUGACCUGAGCCGAAGGCAGUCGCUUAACCAACUGAGCCACCCAGGCGCCCUUACUGUACUAUUUUAAAUGAAUAUAAUUUACUUAGGAUAAAUAAUGUCACUAAUCUAGUAAAAUUCUACAUUUUCUCCUGCAAACUGGUUUCUGAAUACUAAUUUUUCCGGCUCCUUUUGUGUACUCUUCAUCUGUUUCACUUACAAGGAACAA